rnacentral:rRNA from 1 species
CUGGUUGAUCCUGCCGGAGGUUACUGCUAUCGAGAUUCGACUAAGCCAUGCGAGUCGAAUGUUCUUCGUGAACAUGGCGAACUGCUCAGUAACACGUGGACAACCUACCCUUGGGUUCGGCAUAAUCCUGGGAAACUGGGGAUAAUACCGGAUAGGUCACAGCUGCUGGAAUGCACUGUGGCUCAAAGCUCCGGCGCCCAAGGAUGGGUCUGCGGCCUAUCAGGGUUGUAGUGGGUGUAAUGUACCUACUAGCCUACGACGGGUACGGGUUGUGAGAGCAACAGCCCGGAGAUGGAUUCUGAGACACGAAUCCAGGCCCUACGGGGUGCAGCAGGCGCGAAAACUUUACAAUGCGGGAAACCGUGAUAAGGGAAUCUCGAGUGCCAGCAUAUAAUGUUGGCUGUCCAGAUGCCUAAAAAGCAUCUGUUAGCAAGGGCCGGGCAAGACCGGUGCCAGCCGCCGCGGUAACACCGGCGGCCCGAGUGGUAACCGCUAUUAUUGGGUCUAAAGGGUCUGUAGCCGGCCAGGUAAGUCCCUUGCGAAAUCUGGCAGCUCAACUGUCAGGCUGCUAGGGGAUACUGUUUGGCUUGGGACCGGGAGAGGUGAGAGGUACCUUGAGGGUAGGGCUGAAGUCUUGUGAUCCUCGGGGGACCACCAGUGGCGAAGGCGUCUCACCAGAACGGGUCCGACGGUGAGGGACGAAAGCUAGGGGCACGAACCAGAUUAGAUACCCGGGUAGUCCUAGCCGUAAACGAUGCUCGCUAGGUGUCAGUCACGGUGCGACCGUGAUUGGUGCCGUAGGGAAGCCGUGAAGCGAGCCACCUGGGAAGUAUGGCCGCAAGGCUGAAACUUAAAGGAAUUGGCGGGGGAGCACUAC